rnacentral:lncRNA from 1 species
UGUGUGUGUGUGUGUGUGUGUGUGUGUGUGUGUUUAUAAACAUGAACACUCGUUACCGUGGAAACGUCCUCUCACCUCCUGGAACCUACAGGUACAGACCCCGCCUACAAACGUCAGCGGGGUUCUGGAGACCCCGGAGCAGGACAGACCGGGUUUUACCUGAAGUCCUCCUCAGACCUGGUCCAGGUGGAUCCUCUGAGCCGGACUAACAAAGACCCCCCACAGACCUCAAAGGUGCUCAAACCCCCAACCGGGGCUCAGUGAAGACCUGCACACGGACUAGAGCCGGAUCAGGCUCUGCUCUUUUUACACUGUUUACACACAGGUGAAGAUCCGGUCCGGUGGGUCCGGUCCAUCUUUUCUCUUUUGUAUGUUCUGUAGACUGAGUGGUUCUGUAGAGUUCCUGUUCUCUCGUGGUUCUUGGUUCUUUUGUGGUCUCCAGUUUCUUUCACCUGCAUGCCAAAGAUAAACCCAGCUGUGAUCGUGACCCAAACCCCGUCUGAACACGGAACCAGCCCGACCCGAAACAUGAUUCAUCCACUGAGGAGCUGCAGCUUAGAACCGUUCUCCGGUACCGCUGAAUGACCCACUUCGUUUAGUUUCCUCCGACGUCAGGACGGACGAACCUGAAGAAGAGAAAACUGGACUUUCUUUGACUUUUACAAUUACGGUCCAGAACCGCAGCAGCAGUUCUGGUUCUGACUGAAUCAUGAAGAUUCACAAACCCAGUUAAGAGCCUAAUUUAAAGGGAUAUUCAGGUGUAAAUUAAUUUAGGGUCAAACCCACCGUAACACCGAGUUAGACCCCGCCCCCUCCAGAGAUGAAUGUUGUCGACCGCUUCCUUCUCUAGUUAUACCAACUUUAGUAACGACCGCAGGAUAGAAAUACAGAGAGACAAGCCCCCAACCAAAACGCCACUCUAUAGCCACAAAUAAUGCUCAGAACAGCACCUAACUUCAUCAACAGGGUGCCGCAGCUCAAGGAAGAACAUUUAUGAUCAUUUCUUUAUCAUUUCCUUGAAGUAAUAAUCACCAUAUUAAUCAUUUUACAGACGCAGUAGUUCUUCUGUCUUAGCGUCUCGGUCUGAUUGUAUUUCCAUGAAGAAAUGAUCAUAAAUGUUCUUCCUUGAGCUGCGGCACCCCGCUGUAGUCUGUAAAGGACUGGCCUGAGGUCUCUCUACAAACAAGCGUCUGCUGGAAGAGAGUAGGUGAGUUGUGUUUAGUCUCUUUGUUAAAGAAAUGAGUCAAAGUUAAAAAGAUGUUUGGUGGUUUGACCCUAAAUUAGUUUUACAGCAGAAUAUUCCUUUAAUACCUGAAAAGAUGAUGAACCGUUCCCCUGUUAGAGGAAUGAUUCAUGAUCAGCUGACAUGGAGGAGAUGAUAUUUGAGCAUGCUCACAUUUUCACCCGUUCAUGGAUUUACAGAACCCGGUGGUCCAGAGAGAGCCCGGCUCGUGGUUCUGUCAGCGUCCUGUCCACCCAAAAAAAGACUCAACAGCGUUUUCCUCUGAGGGAAUCUUAAGACCUGAUAAUUCAGUGACCAGCACCAACACACACACACACACACACACACACACACACAGGUCUGUUCAGGUCUCUGAUGAUCAUCUCCUCAGUCCUGCUCCGACUCGUUGACCAGGUGAACUGACGCUGGAGUUUAGAGUUAUUUUUCCAGGUGGUCUCACUCAGAUUCAGAUCUAGACCUGGGGUCAACAGAGACCGCUGUGAUGUCUGAAGUGUCUCUGAUGAUGAUGAUGAUGAUGAUGAUGAUGAUGAUGAUGAUGAUGAUGAUCUCUCACCUCUGCAAUAACAGGAACUGUUGACAAUCAGAUGAAGCAGCUUCAUUCUCAUGGUUUGGUUUUUUCCUCAUUUGCUGUAACUCUCCCUCUGCUGUGAUCCUGAGAUAUUCCACUUUAGAGUAAAUGUGUUUACGGUUUUUUGCUCGUUGGUCUUUUGGUUUAAAUAAAGUUGUCAUAGCUCAGGGGAGUGGCCUCAUGUCCUGAUAUCAUCUCAGCAGGUCCUCACAUCGGCUGUCAGGUAAGAGGAGAUAAACACAACACUGCAUCGUCUGCGUGGAGAUCGAUCUGACACGACUUUUGGUUUGUAAAGAGAUUUUACAACAACGCUUCAUUUGACCACAGCGUCAGGAGUUUAUAACAGAAGAACAGAGUUUUUACUAACCUUACCCUCAAUGUUCACCGCAUCCAGAACGGCUCUGAUCGCAGGAACUCACAAGAACCCGCAGAUCCACGUCCAAUCACUCGAUAACGAGUCGUCUCUCUAAAGACAGACACAUAGACAUAUAAGCAGUAGAUUGUGUCCUUCCAGAGGAGGAAAUCUACUUCUAGACUUCUAGAAUCAGCAUCUCCUCAUCCAUGGUGUCAUCGGGGUGAAAUGACGUCUAAAAACCUUUCACUUGUUCGUCUCCGCCCGUUUGCAUGGUGUGAAAUACGAUCCUCCUGAAACACGGAGUGUUUUAUUUUGAAAAGAAGCCGGAUGUUUUAUUUUGUGUCUGUGCCCGACUUCCUUUCCAGCACGGGUUAAUCUGUGCUGAAUUUAUCCGCCAUGCUCCGGCGUCCAGAAAAAAUAGAACUCUUGUGAUCAGCUGAGGAGUCCGGCGAUCCGCAGAGGAACGGAAAGAAGUCGGUGUAAAUUGACACGUUAACUUGAAUGGUUACGAUCAGCUACGAUCGGAGGAUACAACCUUUUAGGAGACGAUCAGGAUGAAGGUGGAGGUCGGGGGUUACUAAUGUAGUUAAGAAGAGUUCAUCAUCAGCACAAGGAAGUAUUUCAUAACAAACAUCAGGGGUAAUGGAUGGAAACAGAAGAGCGUCUUCUGCACAACAGCUGAUCUGACAUGAUCCCGUGAACACUUCUCCACACUGACGAAGUUUAAUAAAAACGAGCAUCAUCAGUGUAGAGGGUAUUUGACACGGUGGAGAUCGAUAAUGGAGCGUCAUCUGCAUAUUGAUUUAGAAUUGUCCAUGAGUUUUACGAAGACACAUUCACCACAGAAGUCAGAGCAGGUUUUUAACGAGAAUAAACCGAUAAAAGUGUGUCGGGAUUUUUGACGGAAAAACACGAAAUAAUGAAGGAAAAAAAGAGGAAUUUUUCCUCUGAGGUUCAGCGAGCGCCUGAUUUCAGACCCUGCUUGUUACUGUGAAAUUGUGGACACCAAACUCUGCUUCUCAGCUGAGAUCACAUCCAGCAACCUGCGACCAGACCUUGUUUUGUGGUCAGCCUCACUCAAACUCGUCUUCAUCAGCGAGCUCACUAACCCUGGGAGGGUGUAGUGGAGGAGGCCUACGAGCGCAAGACGCUGAGGUACGCCAAACUCGCCGCAGAUGCUCAACAACAACUGGGCUACUCAGAGA